rnacentral:rRNA from 1 species
CUGCUCAAUGAAAUUUUAAAUAGCUGCAGUAUUAAUAACUGUACAAAGGUAGCAUAAUAAUUAGAUUUUUAAUUGAAAUCUAGAAUGAAAGAUUGAAUGAAAUAUUUACUGUUUCAAAUAAAUUUAAUAAACUUAUUUUUAAGUAAAAAUACUUAAAUAUUUUAAAAAGACGAGAAGACCCUAUAGAAUUUUAUAUAAUUUAACUAUUAAUAAAAUUAAUUUAAUUAAUUAAAUUUAAAUUAUAUUUAAUUGGGGCAAUUUUAAAAUAUAAAUAACUUUUAAUUAUAAAAACAUUUAAUUAUGAAUAAUUAAUCCUAUAAUUUAGAAAAAAUUAAUUACCUUAGGAAUAACAGCAUAAUUUUUUUUUUAGUUCUUAUAUAAAAAAAAGUUUAUGACCUCGAUGUUGAAUUAAGAUUAAUUAAAAUGAAAAAAUUUUAAAAUUUAAGUCUGUUCGACU